CCUACGGGGGGCUGUAGUGGGGAAUAUUGGACAAUGGGGGGAACCCUGAUCCAGCCAUGCCGCGUGUGUGAAGAAGGCCCUCGGGUUGUAAAGCACUUUCAGUGAGGAAGAACGCCUGGUGGUUAAUACCCAUCAGGAAAGACAUCACUCACAGAAGAAGCACCGGCUAACUCCGUGCCAGCAGCCGCGGUAAUACGGAGGGUGCGAGCGUUAAUCGGAAUUACUGGGCGUAAAGCGCGCGUAGGUGGCUUGAUAAGCCGGUUGUGAAAGCCCCGGGCUCAACCUGGGAACGGCAUCCGGAACUGUCAAGUUAGAGUGCAGGAGAGGAAGGUAGAAUUCCCGGUGGAGCGGUGAAAUGCGUAGAGAUCGGGAGGAAUACCAGUGGCGAAGGCGGCCUUCUGGACUGACACUGACACUGAGGUGCGAAAGCGUGGGUAGCAAACAGGAUUAGAGACCCGGGUAGUC
rnacentral:rRNA from 1 species